rnacentral:rRNA from 1 species
UGGGGAAUUUUCCGCAAUGGGCGCAAGCCUGACGGAGCAAUACCGCGUGAGGGAGGAAGGCCUUUGGGUUGUAAACCUCUUUUCUCUAGGAAGAAGGACUGACGGUACUAGAGGAAUCAGCAUCGGCUAACUCCGUGCCAGCAGCCGCGGUAAGACGGAGGAUGCAAGCGUUAUCCGGAAUUAUUGGGCGUAAAGCGUCCGUAGGCGGUUAUUCAAGUCUGCUGUUAAAGACCACAGCUCAACUGUGGGCAGGCGGUGGAAACUGAGUAACUAGAGUUCGGUAGGGGUAGAGGGAAUUCCCAGUGUAGCGGUGAAAUGCGUAGAUAUUGGGAGGAAUACCGGUGGCGAAGGCGACCGCCUGGACGGGUACUGACACUGAGGCGCGAAAGCGUGGGGAGCAAACAGGAUUAGAUACCCCCGUAGUCC